CCCAGAUAAUGGCACCCUCAAAC
rnacentral:miRNA from 1 species